rnacentral:rRNA from 1 species
GAUGAACGCUGGCGGCGUGCCUAAUACAUGCAAGUCGAGCGAACAGACGAGGAGCUUGCUCCUCUGACGUUAGCGGCGGACGGGUGAGUAACACGUGGAUAACCUACCUAUAAGACUGGGAUAACUUCGGGAAACCGGAGCUAAUACCGGAUAAUAUAUUGAACCGCAUGGUUCAAUAGUGAAAGACGGUUUUGCUGUCACUUAUAGAUGGAUCCGCGCCGCAUUAGCUAGUUGGUAAGGUAACGGCUUACCAAGGCGACGAUGCGUAGCCGACCUGAGAGGGUGAUCGGCCACACUGGAACUGAGACACGGUCCAGACUCCUACGGGAGGCAGCAGUAGGGAAUCUUCCGCAAUGGGCGAAAGCAUGACGGAGCAACGCCGCGUGAGUGAUGAAGGUCUUCGGAUCGUAAAACUCUGUUAUUAGGGAAGAACAAAUGUGUAAGUAACGAUGCACGUCUUGACGGUACCUAAUCAGAAAGCCACGGCUAACUACGU